rnacentral:tRNA from 1 species
GCAGGGAUAGUUUAGUAGCCUAGAACGCCGUAAAUAUCCUUAUUCACAACUUGCCCCAUCGGGGACGACGAAUUAGGGUUAUCGCCUUCCACGCCGGAGACGCGGGUGCAAAUCCCGCUCCCUGCUCCA